UUAAAACUCUCUAGCCUGGUGGUCAGGACAUGAAUGGAUUGAAUCAGCAGAUUUGCAAAGUUUUAUUUAUCUCCACAUAUAUCAUAAAUAAUAAUUAGCAGGUAAAGUAACUUUGCAGUAUACCACAUUAUAUAUUUCCUAUUAUGUAUAUAUGAUUUCCAUAUUAUAAACGUAAGUAUUAAUAAAACGGCAAUAAAUGUCUCAUCUAUUUCUAUAGCUCUGGCUGAGGCUUUCAUCUACUUCUACCCAACGUGACGUCAUCGCCGAAUUGCUUAAAAAAACCGUUAAUACCAAAAACAUUAAAAAAAGGGUCUUUAAGACCUUUUUUGAGACAUUUUAAAAAUGAUAUACAUAUCUUGAGUGAUUUAUGUACCCAUUAAUCAACAGUGGUGGUUAACCUGCAACACGCCCUUUAAAAUAUUUAGGUAAGACACUCUCAGCUUAAUAUGAUUGAGAGUGGCGUUUGGCCUGUAGCUAGCCUACCUGUCAGAGAGCUGAAUUUUAAUUAGACGAAGUGCCUGUGUCAUGUCCACAUCAAGUUAAACAACAACCUAACUAAAAAUUAAAAAUCAUCAUCAACGAGAGCAAGAUGGCGAAAAGAAAAAAAGACGACAAUUACCGUUAAUUCCAGCCCGAAUGGACGGAUCAAUUUGCAUUUGUGGAGAAGUCUGGGUCCGCAGUGUGUCACAUUUUGAGCGACGCAAUACGUUCAUUGCAAAAGUCAAAUGUUAAGAGACAUUUUGAGACGCACCAUUUUGAAUGCCGCAAAAUAGCCCGAUGAGGAUUGCAGGAAAAAAGCUUGCGUUGAGCUUCAGCGGAAAAUGGAAAUGGGACAGCAGCUGCUUGCAUGGACCAACAAAAGCAGGAAUUUAAAUUCUGCGAGCUUUGCUGGCACUCUGGAGAUUGUGUGGAAAGGGAAACCAUUUACAGACGGAGCCUACAUUAAGGGUUGCAUGCUCAGUGUGGCUAAAGAACUGUUUAAUGACCUCACAAACAAGGAUAAAUUUAUCCAAAAGUCAGCAAGAACUGUUCAUGAUCGUGCACUCGUUAUGGCUCGCCAGAUAGAGGAGAUGCAGCUCGACGACAUCAGUUCAGAUGAAAGAUACAACAAGAGGCGAGGAUUCAUUGCAUUGUGCAUCAAGAGGCACUGUGCGCUCAGUCGUGUGGAGAGGAUCUUCGCGAAGUGAUGUCAUUGGUCGUUCGCAUUGUGAACUUUAUUGUGGCCCGAGCUUUGAAUGAUCGACAGUUUAAGGCCCUGCUGGAUGAAGUGGGUACACUGUAAAAAAUACUUUGCUGGCUUAAAAUUUUUUGUUAAAUCUACUUAGAUUUACAAGUCAUGUCAACAGAGAUGAGUUGUCACAGCUUAUAAAAUAUAGUUGAGAAAUAUCAAAAACAACCUGUGCUCAAGGUUUACGGAUGAAAGCCUGAAUGCCUGCAUGAAGCUGAAUCUCACCAGUUAUGACCCCAACUAAUGCAAAAUGAUGCAGCAACAGAAAUCUCAUUAAUGUAAGCAGGGGGCAAUGCACUUCUUGUUAAUAACUUGUUUAUGAUGCCUGUUUCUAAUUUUUUGUGGUGUCUUAUGAGUGCUAGAAACCAGCACUAUGUCAGUGAACAAAUAGUGCUUUAAUGUAUAUUGUUUGUAUUACCCUACAUUUAGCUUGGGUGUAAACGAGUUAAAAAAAACUGCGUUAUUGUAGUUUAUGUAGUUGUAUAAAACAACUACAUAAAAAUGUGCAAACAUUUCUAAUACACGAGUGUAAACUUUGCUGUGGCUCUUUUGAAAAUUUUCUCUCAAAUGUUUUGUUUGUUUGGCUCUUCUGGAUGAAAAGGUUGCCGACCCCUGCUCUUACUCAAUGUAUUUCAAUGGUUCAAGCUUCCAGGAACUAACUUAGGUCUCCAUGAAUCACGUGACGGCCGAGCUUUUUGGGCGUCCAUUGUCAGAAGUUUCUUCCUAAGGGCUAUGGGUAGAAUUUGUUGGCGCAAACAGUCGCGGUCUAAUAGGGUUAAGCAUAAUGUAUUUCCAUGUAUUUUGAUAAUGUGUUUUAAUACUUUGUUUAUAUUUUUAUCUAUAACUGAAUCAAUAAAAAUAAACGUUUUGAGAAUUUCUGAGAUCA